CCCUUCGGGCAGGUGAGCUAAUAAUGAUGGUAGAGGGAAAUUGUUGUGGGCUAAUAUAUAAUGAUGGUAGAGGGAAAUUGUUGUGGGCUAAUAUAUAAUGAUGGUAGAGGGAAAUUGUUGUGGGCUAAUAUAUAAUGACGUUAGAGGGAAAUUGUUGUGGGCUAAUAUAUAAUGAUGUUAGAGGGAAAUUGUUGUGGGCUAAUAUCUAAUGAUGGUAGAGGGAAAUUGUUGUGGACUAAUAUAUAAUGAUGUUAGAGGGAAAUUGUUGUGGGCUAAUAUAUAAUGAUGUUAGAGGGAAAUUGUUGUGGGCUAAUAUAUAAUGACGUUAGAGGGAAAUUGUUGUGGGCUAAUAUAUAAUGAUGUUAGAGGGAAAUUGUUGUGGGCUAAUAUAUAAUGAUGGUAGAGGGAAAUUGUUGUGGGCUAAUAUAUAAUGAUGUUAGAGGGAAAUUGUUGUGGGCUAAUAUAUAAUGAUGUUAGAGGGAAAUUGUUGUGGGCUAAUAUAUAAUGAUGGUAGAGGGAAAUUGUUGUGGGCUAAUAUAUAAUGAUGUUAGAGGGAAAUUGUUGUGGGCUAAUAUAUAAUGAUGGUAGAGGGAAAUUGUUGUGGGCUAAUAUAUAAUGAUGUUAGAGGGAAAUUGUUGUGGGCUAAUAUAUAAUGAUGGUAGAAGGAAUGCAGUAUGACAUAUGUGUUGAAAAAGUAAAUUAUUUAGAAAAAACAGAACUCUACUUCAGAUAAUAUAGAUAAGUAUUUUAUCAGUUAUCAUUUUACAAUUCAACAUUAACAAGAAUAUAAGAGACUAACAAAUGGCUAUCCUCAUAACAUACACUUACCAACCCAAUCACAUGCCAAUCUGGCUGGCACAGAUUUUGGAACAAUAUACGUAGAUAUGAGGACACCUAUGGACAUAGAUGAUUACAUUAUAUAUAUCCAUAUAGACCGUGUGUUUUUAACUAUUACCUAGUCAUUAUGUUGAGGACUAACGGAUGUGAUAUACACAAGACCAGAGUCUGAUAUUGUUUGAAGGAUAGGUCUCAAAGGAAUGUACAGUUAGUCAUAUCAUAUGAUAAAUUGUUAUCUUUACUAAAUAUAUUUUAGAUAUUUCCUGGAGAGUAUCAAAUAAGAGGUAUAAUAUAUACCACAUUAUCAAACCGUCCAACUGACAUUUGCGAUGAAGUGUGAUAAAGAGAUAGGGUGAAUGAUCAAGCUUUUUGAUAAAACACCCCACUGAGGUAUUCCUCCUUGUUAAAGUAUCCCAUAGAGUGGUUGCUAUUUGUUACAGGGGCCCAUAUAGGUAUUCUUAUUUGAUACAAGGACCAUAGAGGUAUUCCUAUUUGAUACAUGGACCAUAAAGGUAUUCCUAUUUGAUACAUGGACCAUAAAGGUAUUCCUAUUUGAUACAUGGACCAUAGAGGUACUCCUAUUUGUUACAGGGGCCCAUAGACGUAUUCCUAUUUGAUACAUGGACCAUAGAGGUAUUCCUAUUUGUUACAGGGGCCCAUAGAGGUAUUCCUAUUUGUUACAGGGGCCCAUAGAGGUAUUCCUUUUUGUUACAGGGGCCCAUAGAGUUAUUCCUAUUUGUGACAGGGGCCCAUAGAGGUAUUCCUAUUUGUUACAGGGGCCCAUAGAGGUAUUUUUAUUUGUUACAGGGGCCCAUAGAGUUAUUCCUAUUUGUUACAGGGGCCCAUAGAGUUAUUCCUAUUUGUUACAGGGGCCAUAGAGGUAUUCUUAUUUGUUAUAUGUGUCCUUAGGAGUAUUCCUAUUUGAUAUAGGGGCCCAUAUAGUUAUUCCUAUGUGUUACAGGGGUCCAUAGAGGUGUUCAUAUUUGAUAUAGGGGCCCAUAGAGGUAUUCCUAUUUGUUAUCGGUGUCCAUAGGAGUAUUCCUAUUUGUUGAAGUGGACAUAGAGGUAUUCCUACAUUUUAAGGGUGAAGUUAUACAACUUUCAAUAAUCACUGAUAAAAAUCAUUCAACUGCCAAAAAAUUGAAAGUUACAGUUAAAUCCUUGCGUAUACUGAGAAAGGCCAAGUUAAAUCUGUACGAUCUGCUAAAAUAAAUUAUAAUUCACCCAUUUAGCACAACAUGACUUAAAUAUAUAAAUGCCCUGAACCUCAAGUCUAUAUGUUUCAAAUGAAAAAUCAUCUGGUAACUUAAUUGUAGAUAUUUCUUUUCAUAAUAUUAGAAGAUUCAUAAUCAGUGAUUAUUUUUCAAUAGCUAAAUAUAUCCAGGGUGUACAGUAUGUUGUAUGCAUCUAUAGCAUGUUAUCUUACACUGAAUCUACUACCUUUGUACUGAGUAAAUAAAGGUCCACUUAAUGUUACAAACAGUUUAAUAAACUUAACAUUACAUCAUAUAGCUAUGAUGAUAUUACAACAGUGUUCAAAUUCAUGAAACACUUGUACUGAAACUCAAUUUUGAUUCCAACAGUGAAGGAAUUGUUCAUAAUUAAAACACAGCAUGUGUUAUGUCUUAUUUUCUUUGUGUUUAAUUGUGUAUUCAGUAAGUUUUCUUAGGUAUGCCUGAGUGUGUGUGGGUGUGGAUGUUAAAUAACAUCAGGACCAGUUAAUGCAGCAGUUCUCUCUAACAGAAUUAUCUCCCUUGGCUUACUGCCUAUUUCACUGUAGAGACCUGAGGGUCUUAAUUAAUACAUUUCACUUUGGUAUAUUGUGACAAAAUAAUUUGGAAAUGAAAUGGAUUGGUGUGAUCAUGCCAAUUAAAAUUCUAGUUAAAAGAGUUGA